rnacentral:misc_RNA from 1 species
GUUGGAGCCUGAUGAGCCUUGAGCCUAAGGCGUGUCUGAAUAAUUUUGUACUAUGCCCACAGAAUUCAUUGUCAGAAUAUUUUCUACUGUUACAAUAUUUAUUCCCUUGUGUUGAAUGAUAGGAAUAAGUGUUUGUUGUGUACAAGUUAAUUGCAUAUACGAAUGGGAGAAGUAAAUAAUUGUUUACCUACAAGAUUAAAAGAUAGCAUCUCUUCGUCUUUAGUACCAUUGAUGCUUGAGCAUAUUAUUUCUACCUAAACUCUCCAACACACAUACACCUUCCAAAACCACUGGCCUAGUUCCAGAUGGCUUAAAAUAGAGCAUUUUGAAGUAUGUGCAAAGUCAUUAAUUUUUACUUUUCAGUUAUCCUUUAUUUGUUUAUUGGAUUGUAGGAAUUGCUUUGA